rnacentral:lncRNA from 1 species
CGCGGUUGAAGGAGUAGUGGAAAGACGUGGCUGACAGCAGAAAGGGAGCAGCACUCAGUGUUCAAAAAGCAUAACAUUCCUCUUGCUGAUGACACAAUUCCUGUGUGAAUCUGUUUACAAGAUUCUGAAAGCUGAACAGAGAAUUUUGGCACUGCACUGGGUAGGAAAAAGCUUUGCAAGAAAUAGAUAACAUCAAGGACAUCAGGAGUGGGAGAGAUUGGACUGGGAGACUCAGCAGUUACAGGAAAAAGACUGAUUUAGAUCUUGUCUCUCGAUGGCAUCAUGCCUUUUCCUCAACUCAGACCGAGUCUCG